rnacentral:rRNA from 1 species
UGGGGAAUUUUGGACAAUGGGGGAAACCCUGAUCCAGCCAUUCCGCGUGAGUGAAGAAGGCCUUCGGGUUGUAAAGCUCUUUUGUCCGGAACGAAACGGUUAGUGCUAAUACCACUGACUACUGACGGUACCGGAAGAAUAAGCACCGGCUAACUACGUGCCAGCAGCCGCGGUAAUACGUAGGGUGCGAGCGUUAAUCGGAAUUACUGGGCGUAAAGCGUGCGCAGGCGGUUUUGUAAGCCAGAUGUGAAAUCCCCGGGCUUAACCUGGGAAUGGCAUUUGGGACUGCAAGGCUGGAGUGCGGCAGAGGAGAC